UGAGGAACAUGACCUUCGGCGGGGGAUAGCCGGCCCAACGGCCGGGUAAUACCGCGUACGACCUUUCGGGGACAUCCCUGGAUGGUGAAAGCAGCAAUGCGCCGAUGGAGUGCCUCGCGGCCUAUCAGCUAGUUGGUGAGGUAACGGCUCACCAAGGCGACGACGGGUAGCUGGUCUGAGAGGAUGAUCAGCCACACUGGGACUGAGACACGGCCCAGACUCCGUAGGGACGG
rnacentral:rRNA from 1 species